rnacentral:tRNA from 1 species
GGAGAGGUGGCAGAGCGGUUGAUUGUACCUGACUCGAAAUCAGGCGUACCGGCAACGGUACCGAGGGUUCAAAUCCCUCCCUCUCCGCCA